rnacentral:lncRNA from 1 species
CCACUACCAUACAUACGGGAGUCGGCUAAGAAGCUUGUCGUCUAUCGAUCAUCUAGAUAGCAUCUAGUGCUGCCAUAACCUUCUCCAGCUCUGUCCUCUUGCUUAGAGCUAGUAAAACUAGUUGAUGGCUUCUGCUGCCAGCACCCUGCAUCAGAAGGACGUCGUCGCCGUCUGCCUCAUGAUGAUUCUGCUAUCCACCGGCCCAUCGGCGAUGGCCUACAUACAGCCAAAUUGUACAGCUGACUGUGAUGCUGCGUGCAGGGCCUACGGACAGGCGGCGUGCAGGAGCAACAACGGCGCCUGGUGCCAGAAACUGCAGGAGUGCGAGGAUCAGAUCUAUUUCCCCUGUUGUGUUACCUGCAACAAGCGCUGCAACAGCACGCCGAUACAGUGCUGAAAAUGCGCGUUGUUGUCAAGCUUGAUUGGAUCGAUAGAUUCGAUUCGCAUGAUUUUAUGUGUUCGUCUAGUACUGAAUUCGUAUUACUACUGGCACCCCUGCUGGCGUACUGAGGUGUCGUACUUCGGCGUGAAAUUUGUGUCUGCUCGCGUUUUUCUCUACCUACAUAGGAGUAUCUAGUUCGGUCGUACGUCUUCCCAUGUGUUACUGGUCUCACUGUAAUUCAUUGUUAUAAUAAAAUGUCAAAUAUUGUUGCAGUGAUACUUAUCCUUUAGUCGGGAAUGAUUAAUUGAGUUUUAUUUCUGUGUUUUUCACUAGGUUAUAAAAGUUCAUUAGUGACCAGUCUAAUGAAGUAUAAUUUGAAUAUAGGCGGGAGCUUGAUUGCUAACUAAUUACCGACAAGGAACAACUUUUUGAUCGUCUUUCUUUUUGAUGGACGGGAGAUGGAGAGACAUGGAGAGACAGUUUGUUUCAUUUCAUUCGUUACCCGGAACGGAAGAUCGUACCGCUCCAUAAUCAGAAGCACGAGAAGCAAUAAUGGAGGAUGGUCUAAGCUUGGUACUAGUCACUUGUCGCAGAAGAUCUGUAAGGAAGGAAACUUUCCAUGAGGACAUCAUCACAGUAGAUAUACACAAGAUAUUCCCUUCACCAGGGAUGGACAUAAGCCUAGGGCCACUAAUGGGCUAAUUGGAG